rnacentral:tRNA from 1 species
GGGCGGUUGGCGCAAUGGUAGCGCGUUGGUUUUCGGAUUUGAUGCACCAAAGGUUGUGGGUUCGAGCCCCAUGCUGCUCG